rnacentral:lncRNA from 1 species
AUCGCCGAAGAGCGCCUGACCUACCAGCGAGUCAAGGUGGGACUCGUGCGGGCCACGGAAGGUCACCGCGGUGAUCUCGGAGCAGACCACCAGCACACGUGCGCCGCGGUUGUUCUCAGCAAGGUCUUUGGCUAGGCGAAGCACCGUGCCGCCAGCGAAACAGCCCUGCUGAUACAUCAUGAGGCGCUUCACAGACGGGCGAAGACCGAGCAUCUUGGUGAGCUGGUAGUCGGCGCCCGGCAUGUCCACACCGGAGGUGGUGCAGAAGACAAGGUGGGUGAUCUUACACCGCGGUUGGCCCCACUCCUUGAUCGCCUUCUGUGCCGCGGCCUUCCCGAGCUUGGGGACCUCCACGACGACGAUGUCCUAGCGCGCGUCUAGAGAUGGCGCCAUGUAGGCGCACAUGUUGGGGUUGUCCUGCAGGAUCUCCUCCGUUAGGUGCAUGUACCUCUUCCUGAUCUGCGACUUGUCACCUGAAAUGACGCACCAAUUGAUAUCGUUUGCUAGGUCCCGUGUCCAUCGGAGAAAAAGGCAAAAAGAGACGGCAAAAGAAGAAUGGAAUUCAUUGGACUUACACAUUCUCUUGAACUUCUCCUUGAGGUCGGCCAUGUGGUCGCUCUUGGUGAUCUUGAAGUAGUAGUCCGGGUAGUCGGCCUGGUACACGCAGUUUGCCGGCGUCGCCGUGCCGAUCGCCAGCACCGUGGCCGGUCCCUCCGCCCGCUGUGCCUGCCUCACCUCCUCCACCGUCAUGGUCGCCGCCAUUGAUCUGUACGUACCGGUGCUGCGUGUACCGGUGCUGGGUGUUGAUAUGAGUGUGGGGGACGUACGGCAUAUAUACGUGGGAAGGAUGGCUGCGGGAAGAAGAGGUUUGGUGAGUUGGACGGGAGGAUGGAUGGCCACGGAUGCGUAGGUAGGAGAUGCAUGGAUGGCGCGAGCGACACGUGUACGUCUGUUACCAACCAAUCCGGCCGAGUACUCGUGUGCUUAAUCUGUCCAUCCAGUUAUGUGCUUGAACCGGUCAGCUAUUACCACAUCAAGCUAAUAGCUACCUCUCUCUCAAACGAAUCUAGCAAAUAGUUCGGGGAGUGCGUAGGUGGAAGAUGUGGUCGGCCACAUCACCAACAAAACGACAAUUGUUCAAUAUUUGCUCUAGCGCUUUCAGGGCCUCGCUAUGAGUUAAAGCAUCACUAGUCGUGAACCCGUGCAGUCGCACGGGCCAUACAUAUCAGAAUCUUUUGCACAGUUAGGACAGUGAUGACUUAGAUAUAGGUAAUCUUUCUUGUUUGAGCACCACAUUAAGCAAGAUAACACAAUGCCACAUCAUUUAUUCAUUUACGAAUGGAAACUUGAGCCGUAUGAAAUCAUUGGUAGAAUAUUCAUUGACGACCUUGGAAAAUAUAAACCGGCCAAAUUUUGUCUCUAUAUCAUUUUUAAUUGUAAUAUGUUCUCGUUAGGAAACAAUAAUAAUUUUGUAAAUAUUAAACCGACUUAUGAUGUUUUCUGUAUAAUAUAUGUCACUAUACAUGCUGGCAAGAAACCUAUAAAUAAAUAUUAUGAAGUUGUACUAGCUAAGAUAAGUAAAGUCUCGGGUAUAUAUAAAGACAAAUGACUCUUAGUUUCUUCUUGUAAUUAUUAUAUCCUUAACUACUAUUAUAUAUAUGAACAAAUAAAGGACAAGAAUCAGUUUUUUUAGUUGGAUUAAUUAUUAUCAACUCGAAAGCAUGAACAGUUCAUAAUAGAAUGGUCAGCGUAAUGUACCAAGUUAUAUAGUUUAGUUUUAUAGCAGUAACUUGUAAUUCAGUUGAUUGCUCCCUUUGAUCAGUAGGGUCUGGCUAUAGUUACCUCAUCCUUUAACUUGUGCUUGCAUGAAAAAUUACAUUUUCUUCAAAAGGUUUUUCCUUAACUACGCCUGAACAUGUACCCCUAUAGACAUAUCAUAAAACAUAUUGCUAUCUCAUUGCUAGGUACAACUUUAGUUUUUUUCUGCUAGAAUUUUUUUAGAGGAAGCAAGAUAUUUAUAUCUUGAUAUGUUCUAAUGUAGAGGAUGAUUUAGGAAGAUUGAUGUCAUACUUCUCUUUUUCAGUGACUGCAAUCAUAGUUAGGUAGACUGCAUGCAUGCAAUUUCUUUCAUUAGAUUAAUUUGCCAUGAAAAAUAUUCACAAUAUUUUUUAGUUUCUUGUGUUUGCAUGUUCAUACAAAAAGUAGGGAUCAAAGUUACAUAUUAGAAAAAAAUAAGUAACAUAGCAAAUUCCGAAAAUAUUGGGACUCAUAGUGUUCAAAUUUUGUGAGAUCACUGGUUCCUUUCAUUGUGGACCAAGUCAAUUGGUAAUCUUGGCUUUUCCCCUUUUCUAGUGGAUAAGGAGAAUCUUACUAACAUGAUACCAUGUGUUGAUUUAUAGCCGCCCUAUAGUAGAGAUGGUGAUCCAGAGUUGGCUAGGGUGCAGGCUCCAACAUCUUGAGAAGGGUCUCCUCGCUCCAGCAUCACCCUGACGAACUUGUACCUGAUGGUACCUAAGUUACUGUAGACACUCCUUUUGUGGGAAACACACAUACAUAGAAACAAUAGUUAUGAACCCCAGAUGAUUACAUGGCACAUUUUUCAUUGGAAUAGCUCCUUUGCGAAGGGCCUAUCUUUUUUGUUACAUUUAUUUUACUGUAGAGUCAACUUCUUAUCCAACCCCAUUUAUUCUCCACUUGACAAACAUUGUAUGGCGGGGAAUCAUCCAGGCACAUAUAUCCAGUUGAAUAUAUAUGAUCAUGAUUCAUUAUUGUUGACAAUUAUCCCUAAGAUAAAAAAAGUCGAGCAGUUAAUUAAGCAUUGCAACACCCCUACCUUUGUUUGCGUCUGGUGGAAAUUGUUUGUUCUAAAAAUAUGCUCCUGAGUGCCAGAAAUCAUCUAAAGACUAAAUGAUAGUUGAGUAUGUGACGUUUGCAAAACCAAACCUUUUAUAUAGAUUCUUUUGAAAAAAUAGGAUGAAUUGUGAUUGUUUGAUGACUAGUAACAUAGUUUGUUGGGUUUCAAUAGAGUUUAUUGUUUAAACUUUAACAUGUGAAAUAGGUUAUAACUUGUUCAUGAGAACUUUUAUGAGGGGGAAUUGCUAUUUAUGAUAUAUAAUGAUGUUAAUAAGUGUGAUGCUAUCAUUUAUAUAUUCUUUAUUAUCGACACCUCUCUCCAUAAACUUGUGGUCAUGUUUAUUGAGCUCGACAUUUGCUUGGGGAAAAGCGAACUCUAAGCUUGGAGGAGUUGACACAUCUGUUUUGCAUCACUAUUUCCUACUAUAACUUAUCAUAUUUCAAUGAUAUAUUUCACAAUAUGAUGCAAUUCUAAUGCCCUUUCUCUCUUAAAAUGCAACGUAAACACAUAGAGGGAGAUUACGAAACUACUGGAAAUCUGGACCAACAAUACAGUAGAAGAAAAAUAAAAUUUUGGAGCUCCAAAUGCAGCGGGUAUUUAGUAAAUUAUUUCCAUAAAAUAUGAAGCUAGGAGCCAGAAGAUGGGCCAGAGGGGACCCACCAGGGUGCGCACCACACGUCCACCCAUGCGUGUGGGCCCUAAGCCGUGCCACGUAGCCGCAUGGGCCCUUGGUGGCUCGCUUCCUGACGCUCUUUGUCCAUAAAAUUCCUUUUCCAUAGAAAAAUCACAGAAAUUCCUCUGCGAUAGAGCGAUUUUCUGGGGUAAACUUCCUUUCGGAGGGGGAAAUCGAAGCCAGCAUCACCACCAACACUCUGUGCAUUGUCGGGAUCAUCAUCUCCGUCAACAUCUUCACCAACACCAUCCCAUCUCCAAACCCUAGUUCAUCCAUCUUCUCUAUCUUUAUAUCGAACUUCAGGUUGGUCGCUGGGAGUACAUAUGUGUCUUCGUUAAACCUUGUAGUUGAUACAUAGGAGAUUUAUCGAUGAAAGAUUGUUAUGAUCAGAUUGUUCAUCAUAUAUUUAUGCCCACUGUUCAUGAUCCAUAUGAUGUCUUGUGAUUAGAUCAUUGAGUUCUAUAGGAUAUGGGAGAAGUCUAGUUGCUAGUAAUCAUGUGAAGUUGAAUACCAUUUAAUGUUUUGAUGAUAUGCUUUGUUGUUCUUCCUCUAGUGGUGUUUGUGAACAUCGACUACAUGACACUUUACCAUCUUUGGGCCUAGUGGAAGCAAUUAUGGAAUUAGUUUAUAGAUGAUGGGUUGCAGGUGUGAUAGUAAACCCAAACCCCAGUUUAUGAAUUAUUCCGUGAGCGGCUGUUUGGAAUCCUUUUGUUUAAUGCUUUAGCUAGAUUUAUCUUAAUCACUUUGUAUUUGCGGACGUUUGCAUGGAGGGUAUAACCAUAAGUAGGUAUUUGUUGAAGUAAGUAGAGUACCGUAGCUCUAGUCCACCCUAAUAACACGUAUCAAAGCAAUUAAUGGUAACUUAAUGAAUCACGGUGAAAGUAACUUACAAAAUUCCCGUGUGUCCUCAAGAGUGUUUUAGCUAUUAUAAGAAAGACCACCAGCUCCACUUGCUGCCCUCUAUUACAUGUGUUACUAUUUAUAUUGUUACAAAUUAUCUUGCUAUCAAACAACCGACCGAAUUAUCUUUACAACAUUUAUACUGAAACCUUGCUAAAAACUACCUGUCAAUUCCUUUUGCUCCUCGUUCGGUUCAACACUCUUAUUUAUCAAAAACACUAUGAUAGGUCCACUAUACUUGUGGGUCAUCAAGAUCCUGACAAGGAAGACCAAACACAGAGAGGAGGAUCGGGAGGCGAUUUGUAGCAUCCAAGGGCGGGGGCACACAUCCUUCUUUUUCUUUUGGCUUUUAAUUCGCCAUCUUGCAUAUGUUCUGAACCCAAAUUCCAAAUUAAGUGUAAGUUGCAUAUUCGUGUUUUUGGUGCAGAGGUGUUUCAAAUGAGUAUACAUUUUGACAAGUUUCUAAAAUUUCCUUAAGUUUCAACUUCUCAAACUUGAUACUAGCGAUCGACAAAUUUGUAAGUUUAAGAACCUGCAACCAAUGAAAUUGCAAGUUUUAUCUUUCAACUUCUAAAUUUGGGACGAGCGACCGGAAAAUCAUAAGUUUCAGAAACUAAAACUUUAAAAGUUGGUGUGCCCUUACGAGAUAAUCGAGCGGUUGGUGCGUCUCGGCAUGUGCGUGCCCCUGCGAAUUUUCGAGGCAGAUAGCUGAAGGCACACAAAAAGAAUUAGCUGACUAAUUAGAAUUCAGAAAGCAACUCGUUUGGGGAAUUUUAGUGAAGCCUAUGCGCACACCUACAAACGUCUUAUCUCAAGGCCGUGCAUACAGAGCUGCCAUCCUCAUUGAGGGGUUGUGGGCGGGAACAAUUUAUACGCUCCAAAUGGCUUGACCACACAAACAAAAAACGGCAAGCAAUGCGUGCGCACUAACACACAACCCAAGUGAACAUGCCUCAACAAAGUUCAAUGGGCAUGUAUCUUCCCUGUUGGUCCUCCUAAGCAACACUUGGUAAACCUUUUAUCUACAAUUUUUUUCUAUGAAAAACUACAAAACACCUACUGAAAAUUGUCAUAGUAAACUACAUAAAUAGAAAAUAACCUACAUGGCAAAAAAUGACAUAGUAAAUCUAAAAAAUAGGAAAGAACAAAUAACUAUGCCUUGUUCCAAAUACAGGAAAAGAUAAUAUAUGGAAAAUUUGCGUGUUAUGAAAAAAAUUCAUAUAUGAAUUUGCAAUUGUAUAGUAAAUAAACAACAAAAAAGUAUGUAUUUUAAUUUACCGUGGUUGUAUAAGGAAUUUUUUUUACUUUUGAUGAUAAGACUGCAAAAUUGAACUGUAAAAAAAAAUUCUAGGCCAUUUUCAACAAAAUUUCCAUGUUCUCAAUAAUAAAAUGUCCCGAUUCAUAUUUUCAUUUUCACAACAUAAAAAUCUCACACAGUAAAUUGCCAUGAUGCAAAUAAAUAAAAUUGCCAUGACAUUGUAAAUAAAUUUCUAUGUCGUUAAAAUUAAGAUUGUUGUGCUCUCAAUUAUGAAAAGGCCAUGAUUGAGAAAUUAACAAACAUAAAAUACCUACAAAAAAUCACAACUAUGUGUAACAACUAUAUGAAUGGAAUAUGAAAGCACGACAACAUGGCAAAUUGUACACAUUUUGAUAUAUACAUCAUGGCAAAAUAUUAAAUUGUUUGUUUUACUCACAGUGCAAGUGACCAUGGAAGCAAUAAUUAUUAGAAAAAGAAAAAAUAUCUACAUUUGCAGUUAUAAAAGUGGAAACAAGUCCAAAUAGUUUGCAUGGUUUUUCCUAAAGUUGCCACAAGAAAGCAUAAUAAAAAUUACUACAAUUGCCAUGGUUCGUAAAACAAAAAAGUUCUGAUUUUGCCGGAAACAUUUUAAAACAUUUACAUUUUGCAUAGAAACGUUUUCUUAGAAAGAAGUAAAAAUAUGUACAUUUUUCUAUGAUAGUUUCUCUAAAAUUUCCAUCAUUAAAGGGAAACAAAAAAAAUGCAAAUUUUCCAUCUUCCUAAACAAACAUGAUCCCCGAAGCUAAAAUGUUUUAGAAAACAAAAUAAAUCUAUGAACUUGUCAUGUGAACAAUAAUUUUAUCCAUGAUAUAUAUAUAAUUUUUCCAUCUAGCAAGUGUGGGCAUUAUGAAAAAUUAUAAAUUUUCCAUGUUUGGAAAUAUAAAUAUUAUGAAUUUGCUAUGUGACCAGUGUAUUUUUUUUAGAAAUUAACAAUGUAGAAAAUGAUUUUUGUAGAAAAAAAUAAGUAUGUAAAAUUGGCAUGUGCAAAAGUAGAAAACAUUUCCAAAAUUGCCAUCGGUAAGUGAGAAAAUUUUGUGAAGCUUGUCGUGGGAGUCUUACAAAAAAAUAAUCUAAAUUUUCCAUGUUUGAAUUUUUUUUAUGAAUUUGCCAUGGGACAUGGAGAAAAUAUUUAUAAAUUAGCCAUGUGAACAUGAUAGCUUGGAAUGAGAACAUUACGAAAAAUUUCUGAAUUUUCCAUGUAAAAAUUAUAAAAUUCCUAAAUAUGCUAGGUGGAAAAUUACUAAAUAAUAAGAAAUCACCAAGAUUUAGAGGAAUGAAAAGACCUAAAUUUGCCUUGAGAAUACGAAAAAAUUAACUAAAAAUGACAAUGUGAAGGAAAAAAUUGUUAGCUAGUAGUUGCCAUGGGAACAAUUCAAAACCAUCCCUACAAUUGUCCGUGUAAAUUAUUUACUAUUUUCCAUGGAACAUUUCUUAGAUUUUACGUGUGUACAAAAACAAAAAAAUUUAGAAGUUGGCAUGUAACAUGGUACAGACAUUUACUUGGUCCAUGGCUCCACUAGAAAAUGACCCCCCAUACCUGAGUUUUCUUUAAUAUAUGAAGGAAAAAAAGAAUUUGGCAUGUUAUGUUCAAUAAACAAGCUAUAGUGUAUAUAACGAAUUUUCCGUAGACAUAGGUACAAAAAUAAGAAUUGCCAUGUUAUGCCAAAAAACUUGCCAUAGUGUAUAUAAUAGAUUUUUCAGACACAUGCCAAAUUUGAAUGGUACAUGAAAACUUGCCAUGUAGUUUGGUGUCUAAAAAUUAACGCAAAUUAAAAUCAAAACAAUUGCGUUAUUACCUUCUUUUUACAUUUUAAAAUAUUUUUUUGCCAUGUACCUAGUACAAAAUUUUGCCAUGGCAGGUAUAAGACUUGUCAUGCCAUGAACUACACAUCUGGGGUUGCCAUGAACUAUAAUAUCUACAACUGCCAUGAAAAAUUGGUUAAUUAACAUCCAAUCAAUGAAUUUCAUUCCAUGCUUCCAUCUGUGUUGUACAAAAUUUGAUGCAAAUGCCCUAUUAGUUUCUAGUGGAAGGGCAUGCCAUAAAGGUGAUAGCCGGAGCUUGCUUGCAACGGAGACAACUAUGUCGACAAGAACCUCGUCUGGCAGUGGCCUGGGCUUGGAGGGCGCUAGCUGGACGCUCUCAUGGAGGCUCUGCCAUGGCCAUGCCUUCUAUGCGGCCUCCUCGGUCGUGGCAUUCCUGGUCUUCUAGCUAUCGUAUGGGAGAGGAAACCCUAACAGGUACGAGACGUCCCAAUGAAACUGAAACUUAUAUAAACAUUCGUCCACACACAAUUUUUUACACCGACCAUGAAAAAGCAUUGGGACUACACAGUCUGACAGCGAACAUAGAAUAAUGUUUACACGACGCUGAAAUGGCCAUGCGUUUUCAUAGGAUCGCUUGACCAGCAAGAGAAAUGAUAGAGAAUAGGAAAAAACACCGGCAUCCAUAGUCGACUGAGACUUAAUGAAGUCUUAGUUGAUGUUAUAUUCGUGGGAUCUUUACAAAAUUUUAAUUUUAAUUUUCUUCUUUCUUCCUUUUUAUAUGUUUUAUGACUCGGCCGAGACUUGGUUAAAUCAGUCGAAUGAGAUCUAGCCAACACUGGCUCAUGUAAGGAAGACACUGCUGAAACAACCCGUGCUAAGGAAGUAAAUGCGCGGUGUGAGCCCACGAAAACGAAAAUGAAUCAUCAAUCGUUUUCAUCUUAUGGUAUAAGAGUUACAUGAGACAUAACUAAUUCUCAUCUACCAAAUCCAUCCUCUCAAUCAAAAACGAAAAACAAACAAACAGGAGAAUGCAUCUACCAACACAUACAAACCACAUAGGGUAGAAUACAAUAGAGCAAACUUAAUUGAGUGUUGCAGCGGCAUAGUAGAUUUUUGCAUGAUCAAGAUAAAUUGAGAACAAGCGAUCGCCUAGGCAGUGACUGGGACGCUAUGGAGGACAACUGUCUCCACAGUGAGCCCAGGGCCAAAGCCGAAGAGAACACCCCAAUCCAUUCCCUCGCCAGUUGUGGUGUGGCCAUCCUCGGCGGAGCGUUUGCGCAUUUCGUCCAUGAUGAAGAGUACACAGGCGCUUGACAUGUUGCCAUAUUCGGAGAGGACAUGCCGGGUGGCGCGCAUCCGUUCCUUGUUCAGGUUUACCUUUGCCUCGACCAUGUCAAGGAUUGCUGGCCCACCGGGAUGCGCUAUCCAGAAGACGGAGUUCCAGUCAUUGAUGCCCAAUGGCUUGAAUGCGUCCUCUAGGGCCCGCUCGAUGUUCUUGGAGAUGAGCCCAGGCACAUCCUUGAGGAGGUGGAAGGUGAGGCCGACCUCUCGGAGGUGGCCGUCGAUGGCACCCUCUGAGUCCGGCAGAAUCGUCUGGCUCGCAGACACUAGCUGGAACAGGGGGCGCUCGAUGGACUCGUCGGGGUCCGCGCCGAUGAUCACCGCGGCUGCACCAUCGCCGAAGAGCGCCUGACCUACCAGCGAGUCGAGGUGGGACUCGUGCGGGCCACGGAAGGUCACCGCGGUGAUCUCGGAGCAGACCACCAGCACACGUGCGCCACGGUUGUUCUCAGCAAGGUCUUUGGCUAGGCGAAGCACCGUGCCGCCGGCAAAGCAGCCCUGCUGAUACAUCAUGAGGCGCUUCACGGAAGGACGGAGGCCGAGCAUCUUGGUCAGUUGGUAGUCGGCGCCCGGCAUGUCCA